rnacentral:lncRNA from 1 species
CCCUGAUGUCCAAGACAGGGCACUGCUUAAGUCUAUAUUCUAAAUCUGAAGUAGAUUUCAUAAUGAAAUAUCAAAGAAUGUUCUCUUCUCUUUCAUAGUGAUAACCAUUGGGAACAUAAAUCUAGCUCUGGUUUACCAUACUUUCUUCCCUUAACAGGUUAGAGAUAAAGAACUCCAAAGACCGGAAAUAGCUACAGGUGAAAACACAGAGAACUGAAAGAAUCCUAUCUGACUUCUUUUUGUUUACACAGCUGUUUCAAAUGUAUGCUAUAUCAAACAAGGAAUCAAAAGUUCAGAGAGUCAAGAUAACUACAUGGCCACAUCUCACUCAUUUCUCUGAUGUCUUUUACCAACGUGACUGGGCUGAUUUCCAUCUCUUUACACUUGUCCUAAAUUUCUUCUCCCUUCAAGAUUCUGUAAAAGGCACCAGGCUCAUUUUCUGCUAUCUGUAAUUCGAAUGUCUCCCUCACUCCUCCUUAGAGGGAUGACAUCCCAAAUAUAUUACCUUUGCCCAAGACUAUGUCGUAGGUGAUUCUGCUUUUGGAGAAACACAAUCUAAGCCCCCCAGUACAUAGUUGUAUAUUCUUAGUUGUGGAUCCUUCUAGUUGUGGCAUGUGGGAUGCUGCCUCAGCAUGGCUUGAUGAGCGGUGCCAUGUCUGCGCCCAGGAUUUGAAUCAAUGAAACACUGGGCAGCCUGCAGCAGAGUGCCUGAACUUAACCACUCAGCCACGGGGCUGGCCCCUCCAGCUUUAUUGAGAUGACUGAAUUCAAAAAGGGAGUGAGAACUGCAUCGAAAACA